CAGGUUCAGUGUCUUGCCCAAGGACACUUCGACUGUGGAGAGGCGGGGGAUUGAACCGCCAACCUUGCCACUGGAGGACAACCAGCUCUACCACCGGAGCCACAGCCGCCCGAAUUGUGUGCUGUGU